rnacentral:rRNA from 1 species
GAUGAACGCUGGCGGCGUGCCUAAUACAUGCAAGUCGAGCGAACAGAUGAGGAGCUUGCUCCUCUGACGUUAGCGGCGGACGGGUGAGUAACACGUGGAUAACCUACCUAUAAGACUGGGAUAACUUCGGGAAACCGGAGCUAAUACCGGAUAAUAUAUUGAACCGCAUGGUUCAAUAGUGAAAGACGGUUUUGCUGUCACUUAUAGAUGGAUCCGCGCCGCAUUAGCUAGUUGGUAAGGUAACGGCUUACCAAGGCAACGAUGCGUAGCCGACCUGAGAGCGUGAUCGGCCACACUGGAACUGAGACACGGUCCAGACUCCUACGGGAGGCAGCAGUAGGGAAUCUUCCGCAAAGGGCGAAAGCCUGACGGAGCAACGCCGCGUGAGUGAUGAAGGUCUUCGGAUCGUAAAACUCUGUUAUUAGGGAAGAACAAAUGUGUAAGUAACUAUGCACGUAUUGACGGUACCUAAUCAGAAAGCCACGGCUAACUACGUG